rnacentral:rRNA from 1 species
UUUUUUAAGAGUUUGAUCCUGGCUCAGGAUGAACGCUGGCGGCGUGUAUUAGGCAUGCAAGUCGAAUGUGCCCUCGGGUGCAUGGCAAACGGGUGCGUAACACAUUGGUAACCUACCCCAAGGCAGGGCAUAACCUUUCGAAAGGAAGGAUAAUUCCCUAUAGUCUCGUUGAACUUAAGUGAUACGAGUAAAGAUUUAUCACCUUGGGAGGGGCCUAUGGUCUAUCAGCUUGUUGGUGAGGUAAAAGCUCACCAAGGCUACGACAGAUAGCGGGUAUUAACGUACGACCCGCCUCACCGGGACUGAAACACUGCCCGGACUCCUACGGGAGGCUGCAGUCAAGAAUCUUCCGCAAUGGGCGAAAGCCUGACGGAGCGACGCCGCGUGCAGGAUGAAGGCCUUCGGGUCGUAAACUGCUUUUAUUAGGGAAAAAUUUCUGAUUGUACCUAAUGAAUAAGGGACUGCUAACUUCGUGCCAGCAGCAGCGGUAAUACGAAGGUCCCAAGCGUUGUCCGGUGUUAUUAGGCGUAAAGCGUCCGCAGGUUGCUCAGCGCAUCUUUGGUCAAAUCUAUGGGCUCAACCCAUAAACUGCCAAAGAGAUGGCUGAGCUAGAGGCAGGGAGAGGCACGUGGAAUGGCUGGUGUAGGAGUAAUAUCCGUUAAUCUCAGCCAGAACACCAAAAGCGAAGGCAGCGUGCUGGAACUGUCCUGACACUCAGGGACGAAAGCGUGGGUAGCGAAUGGGAUUAGAUACCCCAGUAGUCCACGCCGUAAACGAUGGGUACUAGGCAUUGAGAGCUCGACCCUCCCAGUGCCGCUUCUAAAAAAGCUAACGCGUUAAGUACCCCGCCUGGGGAGUACGGCCGCAAGGCUAAAACUCAAAGGAAUUGACGGGAAUUCGCACAAGUGGUGGAGCGUGUGGUUCAAUUCGACAUUAAGCGAGGAACCUCACCAAGGCUUGACAUCUUGGGAAUCUUUAAGAAAUUAGAGAGUGCCUUCGGGAACCCAAUGACAGGUGUUGCAUGGUUGUCGUCAGCUCGUGUCGUGAGACGUUCGGUUAAGUCCGUUAACGAGCGCAACCCUUAUGCUGUGUUACAAAGUGUCACAGCAAACUGCCCUGGAUAACAGGGAGGAAGGUAGGGACGACGUCAAAUCAGCAUGACCCUUACGCCUUGGGCUACACACGCGCUACAAUGGCCAGUACAAAGGGACGCGAAGCGGUAACGUGGAGCAAAUCCCUAAAACUGGUCCCAGUUCGGAUAGAGGUCUGCAAUUCGACCUCUUGAAGCCGGAAUCACUAGUAACCGUAUAUCAGCCACGGUACGGUGAAUACGUUCUCGAAUUUUGUACACACCGCCCGUCAAAUCAAGGGAGUCGGGGGUACCUUAAGGCCGACAUUGGUCGGUCCAAGGUAAAACCGAUGACAGGGAUUAAGUCGUAACAAGGCAUCCGUAGCGGAAGCUGUGGAUGGAUCACCUCCUUU